AUUGAACGCUGGCGGCAUGCCUUACACAUGCAAGUCGAACGGCAGCACGGGGGCAACCCUGGUGGCGAGUGGCGAACGGGUGAGUAAUAUAUCGGAACAUGCCCUGAAGUGGGGGAUAACGUAGCGAAAGUUACGCUAAUACCGCAUAUUCUGUGAGCAGGAAAGCAGGGGAUCGCAAGACCUUGCGCUUUAGGAGUGGCCGAUAUCGGAUUAGCUAGUUGGUGAGGUAAAGGCUCACCAAGGCGACGAUCCGUAGCGGGUCUGAGAGGAUGAUCCGCCACACUGGGACUGAGACACGGCCCAGACUCCUACGGGAGGCAGCAGUGGGGAAUUUUGGACAAUGGGCGCAAGCCUGAUCCAGCCAUGCCGCGUGAGUGAAGAAGGCCUU
rnacentral:rRNA from 1 species